ensembl:lncRNA MIR124-1HG MIR124-1 host gene
AAUGGGGCUGGCUGAGCACCGUGGGUCGGCGAGGGCCCGCCAAGGAAGGAGCGACCGACCGAGCCAGGCGCCCUCCGCAGACCUCCGCGCAGCGGCCGCGGGCGCGAGGGGAGGGGUCUGGAGCUCCCUCCGGCUGCCUGUCCCGCACCGGAGCCCGUGGGGUGGGGAGGUGUGCAGCCUGUGACAGACAGGGGCUUAGAGAUGCAAACAGACUCAGGGAGAGAAACAGAAGCUGAUUCUGUGACAGAAGCAGAUCUGUGCAGCACAGAUGCGGUGUGCGUGGGGAGGGGGUCGCCUGGGAGCGCAUUGCGGAGUGCUUGUGUGUGCAGAUUUUUCUCUGGGCUCAGGACUCAUUGUAUGUGGGUCAACACCUUCCUCCGUGACUGUGUUUUUGUUCUGAGCUGAGUUUUUUGGUUUGCCCUUAAAAAAAUAAUAAUUUGGCAUCCAGAGACUGGCAGACUGCCUCAGGGCCUGGACUGCGGAUAUAUUGUGUUCUGCUUGAGGUUUGGGGAGGAGGGCAGGCGGUAGGAAGGGAGAGGGGGAGCUGUUUGUCACACUUUGCUGUAGAGCUGAGAGCACCUGACAAGCUUAAGGAAGUCGUUGGGCUAUGUGGACAAGAAGGAGCCAGCUCCCAGCGGGUUCACAAGCUCUAUCGGAGUUGAAAGCGUGGUCAUGGCUCUAAGGAGCACCUCACGCCCUCCCUGUAGCUGUUAUUGCAGUUUCAGGCAGAGAUCCAGGAGCUGCAGAGGAAGGGAGAGGCACAAUAACCUACAUGGACCCAAGGGAGACAUGUGUUCCUUUAAAAAUGUGAACAGAAGGAAAAACAGAAUGUGUGCAACUGGGGGUCUGAGGAAAGACUGUUUUGAAAGAGGCUGUCAGGGAAUGGAAAGGGUUAAGCUUUUCAUCCUGAAGAACCUGCUUCCCAAAUCAGGCCUUCCUCCCAUCACUAGACCCUGAGCAGCAGCUGGUCCUAGAGACCCCCCUCGUACUGCGCUGCCACAGUCUCAUCCCAUUUCCAGCUCUGUAUUAACCACCAAGCUGCAGCGGAUGGGGCAAGACCUAAGCUCAUUAAUUUCCAGGUGGAGGAAAUGGAGGAGGGGCAGGUCCCUGCAGUAGAGGGAGGAGCAGAGAAAGGAGGCCAAGAGCUGGAUCCUUCUGCCCAGGAAGCCUGCUGCAUCCCUUCCCCCGAGCAUGGCAGAGGCCUGGCUUUGCAAGGCCAAGGCCAUAAGGGAUGCUUAGGAGAUUAAUUUGAUUCCUGACACAAUAAUCAAGCCCUAAGAGUCUCCACUGAAGCUUACUGAGGACUUCUUUCCUCUCCAAAGCCUCAGUCUAGCCUGCUAAAUAAAUUAGUAUUCAGUGAUGCCUUGGAUCAGGGCCCCUCCCCGGCCUCAGUUUCCCCAAAUAUUUAUUAAGUACCUACUGUGUGCAAUCCUUGUGUAAUUAUUAACUCUUAGGCUCUUCAUUUGCCCUCCUAAAGCAGUGUUUAGAGUCAGGCAGAGGUUAAGUGUGUUGCACCUCACCUAGAUACUUCCAGAACCUUCUCUGGGUCUGCAGAAUGUGGCACAACCUGCUUGCCCCCGCAGAGAGAAAGCUGCAGUGCACAUCCUGCAGACUGCAGGUGCUGGGCUGCCUCUGGAGUCCCAGAAGGCAAGCUUGGCUGCAGGACAGAAAGGGAGAACAGCUUCUCUCACCCCUGAGCCUUCACAAGCCCUUGUCUAUUUGCCGUUGCCUUCAAAAUAUACCUCCCCCGAAACCAGUAGCUUUCUGAGUCCUGGUGUCCCCUCCGCCCUUUCUGGACAGGUUUGGGAAGAAGAAAGCAGUCAGUGCUGGGCCUUAUUGGGGUGUGAAGCGCCUUGCUCUGCCCCUUCUGCUCACUGUGAAGGCCGCUGGAUGCUUCUCUUAGGCAUGGUUUAAGCCUCCGAUUACUAAACCCCUUGCCCCACAAACGUCCACAUUGACGAGCCUCUUUUUAGUAACUGCUUCCCCGUAAUUCCUUCAGAGGUUGCUGUACCCUUCGCUGAUGUGCUGCCCUCCUGUAAAACCUCCAGAUGCCUUCCCACGUAAUGCCCCUUUCAGAUGCUUUAAGCUGAGAGCUUAAACCACAGGUACCAUGGCUGACGCCUGCCAGGUUUCUGCUGCAGAUAAUCUAUGAUGGGAGGGGCAUAUUUUUUACUUCAUUACUUAUGUAAACUCUUGUUCCAGAAAGCUUUAAUGUGUGUGGGAGUGUUCUGGGUCUAUUAGGUCUGUGCGCAUGGGUGUGGGCAUUUGCCUGUGUCCACCGGGUGGGUCUCAUUAUGAAAUGUAUGUUUAUGUAGGGCUUUAAUGGCUGAAAAUGGCAAAGAGAUGAAUAGACCACUUGGCCCCAUGUGUAAUUGCCAGGCCCCUUCUGUGCUCAAAUGAGGUGUCCGAGUGAAGGUCAGCCCUUCCCUUCUGUAUUUGGGGCCUAUUUAUGCCACCAGUAAUUUUAUAAGAAAUCUGAAUAGUUCUCCCCUUUGAGUGCAUUUAACUCUUUAGUAUCUUCUCUCUUACCUAUUUGAGCCCCUCUAGCUACAGUCUGGCUUAAAUGAAAGGGGAAUUAUAUGCUUAAGAAAAAGUAGGACACGGUUGAGGCAGUUUGCUGACUGAAUACGCGAAGAAGGACCUGAUGGGCUCAUAUGCACCACUGCCAUCACAGUCCCCAUCGUGAUGCAAGCUUAUAUGAUUCUUGAGGUAACUCUACCAGAUACUUCCAGAUUUAGAAAUGUGUCAAAGGAAAAAUUGGUGAUACUCUUCUUUCCCCUGCCAGAAACAGCCCAGAUCUCCUCUUAAGCGGAAAAGAGAUUGACCUUCUAGCAGAGGCAAAGGUAAACUCCUGUAAGUUACUUCUGUUACCAAAGGGAGGGGGGCGGCUUUUGUGAAUGUAUGAGGAGCUUUUGCCAGAGAGAUAUUCGGAGGAGGGGUGUGCCCAUAUGCACACAUAUAUUUUCCCGCAUAACCGUAUCCAAUGCUAGCAUUUAGAGGAAGGCAUUUAGCCACCAAAAGUCCAUCCAUCUAUGCUGCUUCCACAGAGAAAACAUUUUCUCUUUCCUCCUCUUGAACUUACAUAAUAUCCUCCUCCCAUUCCAACCUUAGAAUGGAGUCUUCUGGGGGCAGCUGCAAAGCGUUCUCCCUAGGACAGAUGGAGCCUCCCUUUCCUCAUCUACUCUGUGGGUGGUUUCAGGGCCCACGAGUCAACAUGAGGAGUUGUGCUGGUGGUAUGUGUGUUGGAGGCUGGGCUGGCUGAUUCACAGUGACGAGGAUGUCAAUAAUAACAAGAAUGAGAAUGAUGGUACCUAAUAAAGACUUUUUUUCCCAA